rnacentral:rRNA from 1 species
CCUACGGGAGGCAGCAGUGAGGAAUAUUGGUCAAUGGACGAGAGUCUGAACCAGCCAAGUAGCGUGAAGGAUGACUGCCCUAUGGGUUGUAAACUUCUUUUAUAUGGGAAUAAAAUGUUCCACGUGUGGGAUUUUGUAUGUACCCUAUGAAUAAGGAUCGGCUAACUCCGUGCCAGCAGCCGCGGUAAUACGGAGGAUCCGAGCGUUAUCCGGAUUUAUUGGGUUUAAAGGGAGCGUAGGUGGAUUGUUAAGUCAGUUGUGAAAGUUUGCGGCUCAACCGUAAAAUUGCAGUUGAAACUGGCAGUCUUGAGUACAGUAGAGGCGGGCGGAAUUCGUGGUGUAGCGGUGAAAUGCUUAGAGAUCACGAAGAACCCCGAUUGCGAAGGCAGUUCACUGGACUGCAACUGACACUGAGGCUCGAAAGUGUGGGUAUCAAACAGGAUUAGAUACCCCUGUAGUC